CGGGGGGUCCUAGCGUUGUUCGGAAUCAUUGGGCGUAAAGCGUGUGCAGGUGGUUUGGUAAGUUGGAUGUGAAAUCCUUGGGCUUAACCCAAGAAGGGCAUUCAAAACUACCAAACUUGAGUAAGGAAGAGGGUCGUGGAAUUCCAGGUGUAGUGGUGAAAUACGUAGAUAUCUGGAGGAACACCGGUGGCGAAGGCGGCGACCUGGUCCUAUACUGACACUCAUACACGAAAGCGUGGGGAUCAAACAGGAUUAGAUACCCUGGUAGUCCACGCCGUAAACGAUGGAUACUUGGUGUUGAAGGUAUUGACCCCUUCAGUGCCGGAGCUAACGCGUUAAGUAUCCCGCCUGGGGAGUACGGUCGCAAGAUUA
rnacentral:rRNA from 1 species